GACGAACGCUGGCGGCGUGCUUAACACAUGCAAGUCGAACGGUGAAGGGACCAGCUUGCUGGUUCUGGAUGAGUGGCGAACGGGUGAGUAACACGUGAGUAACCUGCCCCCUUCUUCUGGAUAACCGCAUGAAAGUGUGGCUAAUACGGGAUAUUCUGGGUCUGUCGCAUGGCGGUCCCGGGAAAGAUAUUGCUUCGGUGGGGGAUGGGCUCGCGGCCUUUCUGCUGGUUGGUGGGGUGAUGGCCUACCAAGGCGGUGACGGGUAGCCGGGCUGAGAGGGUGGCAGGUUACACUUGGACUGAGGUACAGCCCAGACUGCUACGGGAGGGAGCAGUGGAGAAUAUUGAACGAGGGGGGCAAGCCUGAUGCAGCGACGCCGCGUGAGAGAGGCAGGCCUUCGGGUUGUAAACCUCUUUCGCCAGUGAAGCAGGCCUGCUCCUUGUGGGUGGGUUGACGGUAGCUGGAUAAGAAGCGCCGGCUAACUACGUG
rnacentral:rRNA from 1 species